UUUCAUUCCUUGCAGGCUCACAAACUACCACAUUACAUUGUUGGUAGAUGUAGGGAAGAAAUCUUAUACCUCUAACGCGAGAAUGAUCUACUAACUUAUUUUUCCAUUGAUCAGAUGUCUUCUCUUUUGAAGCUUUGACUAAAAGUUGAUCGUUCCUCUAAUUCCAUAUCUUCCUCAUUAAAGUGAACAUAUUUACUAAAAAUCAUCCUCCCUAUUUAUGGAUCGUACACUUUGAAGGUUGUGGAGGAUGAACUAUAACCCAUAAAGAUUCCGGUGAUGGCCCUUUUAUCAAGUUUGUCUCUUUCAACCUGCGUCUGAAAGAAAUUGUAAUACCCCAAAAAAUCCAAACCAACAUUUUUAUGGUUAUUUUAUAUUUUAUAAGUAAUUUAGAUGUAUAUUAAGGCUUCACACAACUCCCAGCUACCAGACGAAUGAAAACAUUCCUUACCGAUUGAAUUCUUGAGAAGGAUAUUGGUUUAGUCAACUUCAAACGAUCAUAUCUCUCAUUAUACUUAAAAUUUUCGAUCUUAUGAUCUAUAAAAAGAUAUAUAAUUUAAUUAUAUUUCCAACGAUACCAAUUUCUCCUAAAUCUGAUAUCGAAGCAAAGAGUUAUUCCUAUUUUAAUCUAGCAUGUCAGCCUGAAAACAGUGUGACGACAUUCGUGAUAGCUUACCACAUUAGUGACACCCUAUCACGAAGGUCGUCAGCCUUAGGCAGAAACCAGCUCCUAAGUGAUGACAUUCGUGAUAGCUUACCAUAUUUGUGACCCCCUAUCACAAAGGUCAUCAGUUAUAAUUUUUCAGCAACUGGGAAUUUAUUUCAUAAGGGUAUUUUGGUCAUUUACUUCACCUUUCACAACUUAUAACCCUAAAGUGGCAUUAUUUUUCCCAUUUUUUCUUCAGUUAAGCAUCUCAAAAACCCUCUCUUAUGCUCUCAACUACAAUAUUAGGGUUUCCAUCAAACUUAUCUCUCAAAAGCAAGAUUCAAGCCUUUUUCCAAGAUAAAUGAGAUUAAGUUUCCCAAUCCAAGAGCUUUCCAGCAAAUCAUCAAGGUUUCCUUUCUAAGGUAUGCGUAGUGCUCAUCUAUGGAUCCAAUCUGUUCAUAGAGCUCAAGAACCAUGUUUUAAAUAUUAAUUUCUAAACUCUUUGUGGUGAUAUGACUAUGUACAUGUUGACGAUUGUUGUUUAAGUUUCAUGUGAUGUCUAGAGGUGUUUUCAUGGAAAAUAUAUGUUUGUUAAUUGAAAACCAUGAAAUUUAGGUGGUUUAAUAUGGUGCAAGUAUGAAACCCACCUAUGCCUUAAAGAAUGCAUGCAAGGUGUUUGAUAAAAUGCUUAGGAUGCUAGAAGUUCUUGUUUGUAUGGUUCUAUGAUGUCUAAAUGACAAGUCCACGUUAGCUAUAUACUUCAAUAUGAAUUCCAUGCUUUUUGUGUGUUGCUAUUGUGGUGGUAUGAAGCAUGUAAGAUAAUAAAGAUAUACACUAUGUACACGAAAUAUAUCCAUGCAUUCCCUACAAUGUUUAAGAUGUUGAAUAACGAUAUGAAAUAUGAUAUCCCCUACUUAUGAUAUUAUGAAUUGUAGACUCAAAUCUUAAAAUCAAGUCAUUUCAUGUGUGUCAGUUUCCUUCUAUCGAGUCCUGGGGUUAUUCGUACCCAAAAAAUAUAGUUAUAUGCCUAUAACCAUGUCAUGUUUUCAUGAUACUCUCAGUCAAUCCAAGAUCUACAGAAAUCAGUCAGUCAUGUGACUCAGGAAAACUCAGUAAUCUUAGUAGUUUAGUAUUCUUUGUAAUCUCAGUGCUCAGUAACCUCAGUAAUCACAGUAAAUCUCAAUAAUUUUAGUACUCUUAAUAACUCCUCGGAACUCAUUAUAUUCCGUCCAUCAUCGGAAUCUAGUAAACUCAGUUUUAGCUCUGCUAAAUAAUACCACUAGUAUUAGUUCAGUUAAUGAGUAUCAGUUCGGCAAAUCAAUUCAGUUAAGUUAUUUUGUUUAGUCCAGUUAUUCAGUUUAGUGUCUUUCAAAUGGGAGUAGGAUUCAACACCGAGCGAACCUAGGGAUAGGGGCUCACCAGCUAGAAUAGGAAUGAGCUCCCUAGAAGAAAUCCCUAAGUUCCAGAACUACGUGCCAGCGUAAGUACAAGAUGUCACCUGUUAGAUAGGACUGACAUACUAAGGGGUCACCCGUUAUCACAUUUAUAUGUAUAGGACUGAUCCCAGGAGUCACCCGUUAGGUUAGGACUUACUCCACAGCAGAUGUCCUUACUGGUGGCGUAGUACUGACAACCUUUCAGUCAGGGUAGAGAUUGGACCCCAGUCAGCUUAGCUUGGGCCAUGUCGAUUUGAUGAACAAUUCCCACAAUUUCAGUUGCAGAUUUAAGAAUGUCAGAUAUAGUCAAAUCAGUUUAGUAGUACAGAUUCAGUAGGGUUAGAGACAAUCAAUCCUUAUCAUUAUAAAUAUACUUCAAGAUUACCCAUUAGACCGGAAUGAUCUCAACUAUAGUUAAAAAGUAUCAGAAUCAUCAUAUUUAAAGAUCACCUACUAGAUAGGUAUUAUCUUAAAUUUAGUUACUCCAUAUAAAACUGAACUUAGAUAGUUCCAUCAAAACUUAGACUAUCAGAUAUAGUCGCUCAGUAUCAGUUACAUCGGUUAGGAUGAUUAUCACAGUUAUAUCAGUUAUAUCAGUUUUCUAAACUCAUGUAUCAGUUAUAUCAGUUAUCAGAAUUCAUGAUAUCAGUAUUCAGCUUCAAGACUGUCAGAAAUAGUCAACCAGACCAUUUCUUCAUAAUUUGAACUGUCAGAAAUAGUCAUUCAUCUAUUCAGUAUCUUAGUAUCUGUACCCUUAUGUUGUCAGUAUUCAGACUCAGUAGUCAGUAUCUCUAUGAGUUCAGUUACAGUUAUGUUUGCAUGUAUGUAUUCUCACGUUCAUAUUAGUCAAGACUGUUCAUGCAUAUAGCCCUUUGCAUUUAGCCUACCUCACUCGUAUACUCAGUACAUUCAGACGUACUGACGUAUUUACGCUAUAGUGCUUUCUCUUAUGUUACACCAUAGGUUCAGAGGCACGAGCUCCAGAUCAGUAGUAGCAUUCCAGUGUUCAGAGUUUACAAUGAAUCCUUCUCAUUCGAGGAUAAUAUGAUUAUUUCUACAUUUACUAUUCAGUUUCUAGAUGGAGUUAGUUUGAGACAUGUUCAUUCAACUCCUUAUUCAGUUCAGUUAAAGGCUUUCAGACUAGAUGUCAG
rnacentral:lncRNA from 1 species